rfam:Oryza sativa (indica cultivar-group) chromosome 10, whole genome shotgun sequence.
AAUCUAUGACGCUGUUGAUUUUUUGUUCAAUGUUUGACCAUUCGUCUUAUUCAAAAAAUUUAUGUAAUUAUCAUUUAUUUUAUUAUAACUUGAUUCGUCAUCAAAUGUUCUUUAAGUAUGACAUAAAUAUUUUCAUAUUUACAUAAAAAUUUUAAAUAAAACAAAUGGUCAAACGUUGGUCGAAAAGUCAACGGCGUCAUACAUU